rnacentral:rRNA from 1 species
UACGUAGGUCCCGAGCGUUGGCCGGAUUUAUUGGGCGUAAAGCGAGCGCAGGUGGUUUAUUAAGUCUGGUGUAAAAGGCAGUGGCUCAACCAUUGUAUGCAUUGGAAACUGGUAGACUUGAGUGCAGGAGAGGAGAGUGGAAUUCCAUGUGUAGCGGUGAAAUGCGUAGAUAUAUGGAGGAACACCGGUGGCGAAAGCGGCUCUCUGGCCUGUAACUGACACUGAGGCUCGAAAGCGUGGGGAGCAAACAGG